rnacentral:rRNA from 1 species
UACGUAGGGUGCAAGCGUUGUCCGGAAUUAUUGGGCGUAAAGAGCUCGUAGGCGGUCUGUUGCGUCGGCUGUGAAAACCCGGGGCUCAACUCCGGGCCUGCAGCCGAUACGGGCAGACUAGAGUGUGGUAGGGGGAGACUGGAAUUCCUGGUGUAGCGGUGAAAUGCGCAGAUAUCAGGAGGAACACCGAUGGCGAAGGCAGGUCUCUGGGCCAUAACUGACGCUGAGAAGCGAAAGCAUGGGGAGCGAACAGG